rnacentral:rRNA from 1 species
UGAGGAAUAUUGGGCAAUGCCCGAAAGGGUGACCCAGCAACGCCGCGUGGAGGAUGAAAGCCGUAAGGUUGUAAACUCCUUUUGAGAGGGACGAAUAGCCAGAUUUCGUAAGGAAUUUGGUUUGACUGUACCUUUAGAAGAAGCCCCGGCUAACUACGUGCCAGCAGCCGCGGUAAUACGUAGGGGGCAAGCGUUGUCCGGAUUUACUGGGUGUAAAGGGCGCGUAGGCGGAUUUGUAAGUCAGUGGUGAAAGCCUGUGGCUUAACUACAGAACUGCCUCUGAUACUGCAUAUCUUGAGUUCGGAAGAGAGAAGCGGAAUUCCAGGUGUAGUAGUGAAAUACGUAGAUAUCUGGAAGAACACCAGUGGCGAAGGCGGCUUCUUGGUCCGUAACUGACGCUGAGGCGCGAAAGCGUGGGGAGCGAACA